UCUCUAGCUUAUUCUAUCUUCAUAUUGCAGCUUUUGGUUAGCCAAUACACUCCAUGUUCUAACUUCAUAAGAAGGUGGCAAGCUUUAUCGAGGACAAGUUAAUACGAUGACAUUCCAAUAGGAUUCUUGUAGGCUGUUUUGUAAGCCAACAGAGCAUCCUCUACCCAUAAACUCCAGUCAUUUCAGUUUGGAUUUAUUGUCUUCUCCAGUAUGGAUUUCACCUCGUUGUUAGAAAUUUCUGCAUGACCACUAGUCUGUGGAUGAUAAGCAGUACAAAUAUCGUG
rnacentral:lncRNA from 1 species